CCUAGGCCAUGAUUGCUCCAUUGCCACCUAAAAACAAAGAAGAAGAAGACAAAAUUGAAGGAUUUAAAAGAAGAAAAUGAGAGAAAAAGAGGGGGAUUCGGUUUUUGGCAGUAAAAAAAAAGAAAAAGAAAAUUUUUUUAAGCAAAAAUAGCAGCAAAAAGCCCACUGUCGUCGUCGAUCUUACGCCACCAUACCACCACUGCAUCACUACCAUCCCAACACCUAUCAAAGCAACCAAGAAGUAAAAAAAAAAAAAACAACAAGGAAAAAAAAGGAAAAAAAAAACAAAGGAAAAAAAAGAAGAAAUGGGAGAAGGAGGAGCACCACCGUGGCCGUCACACUGCUGGGAAGCAAGGUGUCGGUGAUGGAAGCAGUGCAAGGGGGCUGAACGGGGAAGAAAAAAAGAAAGAAAAAAAGAAAAAAAGAAGGGAAAAAAGAAAAAAGAAAGGGGGAAGAAAGGGAAAGAAAAAAGAGAAAAAAAACUAACAGUCGGGUCAAACUGACCCGACCCGAUCUAGCAACCCGACCUGCAACACCCAGUAGACCGCAACACCCAG
rnacentral:lncRNA from 1 species